rnacentral:rRNA from 1 species
AGAAUCAACGCUGGCGGCGUGCCUAACACAUGCAAGUCGAACGAGAAAGUGGAGCAAUCCAUGAGUAAAGUGGCGACCGGGUGAGUAACACGUGACUAACCUACCUUCGAGUGGGGGAUAACAUCGGGAAACCGAUGCUAAUACCGCAUAACAUCGCAAGAUCAAAGCAGCAAUGCGCUGGAAGAGGGGGUCGCGGCUGAUUAGCUAGUUGGCGGGGUAACGGCCCACCAAGGCGAAGAUCGGUAGCCGGCCUGAGAGGGCGCACGGCCACACUGGAACUGAAACACGGUCCAGACUCCUACGGGAGGCAGCAGUGGGGAAUUUUGCGCAAUGGGGGAAACCCUGACGCAGCAACGCCGCGUGGAGGAUGAAGCCCCGUUGGGGUGUAAACUCCUUUCGACCAAGACGAUAAUGACGGUACUGGUGGAAGAAGCACCGGCUAACUCUGCGCCAGCAGCCGC